rnacentral:sRNA from 12 species
AACAGAAUAUUGUCUACUGCCUAACUAUGUGAAGAAGGUGUCAACUUGCAUAGAAGUGGUGUAUGUGGCGGCGGUAAAUGACAGAUAUGUUAUUGUUCUAGCCGUUCUGACAUUGGCGACAGUGUUGGAAAAUCUGGAAACCGGAAAUCACAAGCUGCUGUGCUGGUUCUACUGGUCACUAAAGGUCGGGUACUGCUGGUCUGGAUAAUAGACGCUACUGUGUAGAAUAAGCCUGAUUGGACGGUGUGGAAACCGUAAACCAUAUGGUAAUCCAAACAACCAGAUUCGUCUUGAUGUUGUGGAAACGCAACUAUAACAGCAGUCGUUCGGUGGAGUAGCCCAAUGACGUUACGAAUUGAAGAUUUAGAUACAUGUUUUUUUGUAAUCCUAAAUUUCUGAAUGAUGGGUGAAACUUGCUGGUACUCAAUCCAGCUACGACUUAGAGGUGCUUGCACCUGUGGCAAGAAGUUUAGUGGAGACGUUCCCUAGGCUCAGACUUGUCGCUCGUAUGACCGAAUAUAGUGGAUGGUAGAGAUUGGUAGGGCGAAGGUCCAGGCGGUAGGCAAUAUUCUG